rnacentral:piRNA from 1 species
UGGUGUCGGUACAGUAUUUAGCUACAGUAU